rnacentral:rRNA from 1 species
UAAUGUACCUCGAAGACCGGGAUAGCCAUUGGAAACGAUGAUUAAUACUGGAUAUACCUUUCAUUCAUAAGUUUGAAAGGGAAACGUUUUUUCGCUUCGAGAUCAGACUAUAUCCCAUCAGCUUGUUGGUAGUGUAAGAGACUACCAAGGCUAUGACGGGUAGCGGGUUUGAGAGGAUGAUCCGCCACACUGGUACUGAGACACGGACCAGACUCCUACGGGAGGCAGCAGUGAGGAAUAUUGCACAAUGGGGGAAACCCUGAUGCAGCAACGCCGCGUGGAGGAUGACGCAUUUCGGUGUGUAAACUCCUUUUAUGAGUCAAGACAAUGACGGUAGCUCAUGAAUAAGCACCGGCUAACUCCGUGCCAGCAGCCGCGGUAAUACGGAGGGUGCAAGCGUUACUCGGAAUCACUGGGCGUAAAGGACGCGUAGGCGGGUUGGAAAGUCUGAUGCGAAAUCCUACAGCUUAACUGUAGAACUGCAUUGGAAACUUCCAACCUAGAGUAUGGGAGGGGGAGAUGGAAUUAGUGGUGUAGGGGUAAAAUCCGUAGAUAUCACUAGGAAUACCUAAAGCGAAGGCGAUCUCCUGGAACAUUACUGACGCUAAGGCGUGAAAGCGUGGGGAGCAAACAGGAUUAGAUACCCCGGUAGUCCACGCCCUAAACGAUGAACACUAGUCGUCAGGAAGCUUGUCUUCUCGGUGAUGCACUUAACAGAUUAAGUGUUCCGCCUGAAGAGUACGAUCGCAAGAUUAAAACUCA